rnacentral:sRNA from 1 species
GGACGUCCUGUCGUAGGACAUGUGCUUGA